rnacentral:lncRNA from 1 species
UCAAGAGAACGAAAGACAGAUAAAGGCUAGUACUACAGCGGAAGUCAAAACACGGAGUUGAACCCUAGCCUCAACUCUCCCCGUCAACACCAGCCAUCAACCUGAAAAACAUUUGAAAAUAUUUGGGCUAAGUAAUAAUGUACUUAGUGGGCUGCAACUUUUAAAACAUUUCACAAUUCGUAAGAGCAGUUUAUCCAAUUAUUCAUGACAUAACUUAGAAGGUUUUAAAGUAAAGGAACUUCUAAGCAUGUUAAAAUAUUUCAUUUUACUAGCGCACUGUUGUCACACUCUGUUCUGUUACUCGCUGUGAUCCCGGACCUUUUAGCCACCGACGGAUCCCUCAUUCCCAUGAUACUUGCCCUGAGGACGUAACUCAGACAAGUUGAAUUGACCUCGGGACGCUACCCAGGCAGGCCUUACAUGAUACAUGCUCCGGAACACAUCCAGCCGAGCACCCUUAUAACGCCUCUUGCAUGAAUUAGUGCCCGAUGGAGAUCAACCCACCGAAACAACUAACAAGUGUACACAAUUCUCAAAUAACGUGUUAGGCCAUAAGAGAAUCUCGAUCGAUCCAUGAAUUGCGAGCCUUAAACAUAACAGAGCGCACAAAAACAUUUAUUGGAUAAACAGUUUUCAUUUCAUAGAAAUAUUUAGAGACUUAAUAACUCAAUCAUAUAUUUGGAAAGUAAGCCCACCUGAUCCUUAGUGUGGAAGAGAGGUGAUCUUAAGCUGUGGCACCGUCCUGCGGACCAAUUCCUACAAGACGAGUUCUUAACUCUUAGCACAUAUCAUGGAUAACGAAAACCGUUGUUUACUUAGGGUCUCUAGGUCAACCUAUUCCCGGACUUACAACGCAAAAUCGAACUAGGGAUUAUGCAUUUUACAUACAUUAGCUUAUCUUGAUGCCUUAUCUAGGUUAACUCACUCAUUUUCAUGAAAACUUUGCACAAAACAUGUCCCAAACUCGUCAUGCACAUAUACAUAAUAUUUCAUGAAACAUCCUUUAAAACCAACUUUCAAACUUAGAAAAUAAUUCAACAACUUGAGCUCUUAAGGGGCUGUUUUGCAACAGACACCAAAUCUGUCUCGGAUCUCUAAAUGAGGCUCCAAAGGACAUUCUGGAAACUAGGCAUUUCAAGGAUCAUUCUCCAAUUUGAAUCGAAUGAAACAGAGUUCAAACGAGCAAGAUAUGCCCACUCAAAGAUGGGUACUUAACAAGCAAAAAUCUGGAAAUUUCAGAUUUCCAGAUUAGAACCAAGUCAAUGGGCCUUCUUUAAAAAUUCAUAUCUCCCAUUACAAAAGGCCACUGGGAACUCCAAGGGUCAAUCCGAAAACUAGGGAGAGAGUGUAACACUCUCCAGUUGAAUUUACCCCAAGAAGAUUCAUGGUUUAGGAGAUAUUAACAUCCAAAGUUCAGUGCACAAAAAGAGUUCAAGUUCGGCAGAUUCAAAGUUUAAAUCAGAAAACCACUUUAGGCUUCACCAAAAAUUCUACAAAUGAGCAAAUAAGUUCCCAACAUGUCAAUGAAUAUUCAGUAGAAAAAUGGGCUUGAGAAUCAAAGAUUUAGGUUGGCCUUUGCCACCUCAAAGUCGUAGGUUUGUAAAACCUACUGGAUGGUACAAAGAAUAAGAACUAGACUUCAAGAAUUAUACCGGGCAUUUUCCUUACUCAAAAAUGGUGAGGCUAAUACCAAAAGAAAUAUAAGGGAGUCUAGAGAAACAUAUUAAAGUUUCAAAGGGUUUCACCAAUUGAAACGUGACUUAUGGCCUCCCAAAGAUUGUUUACCAGAAAUGCAUUCCAGACAGGCAGUGAUGUUCAAAAAUUCAUAAAUAAAACAUAAGAGCUCCAAAAUUCUGAAAAUAUACCAUAGUAUAGAAAACAUAUAAAAUACGAUACAUAAUUAAUUUGGGAAUUUUUGGGCACCGUUUGGACGGCUGAAAUCGCCUUGCAAAACACUGCCAGAGCAGUGUGCUAUGGCAGAUUCGCAGCUUUACCACAUGCACGAUUUUUCACCCAAUAAACUCUACCAAAAUAAACAUCCAAGACCAUAAAACAUAUCCUCACACAAUAUAGCACACAUAUGUCUAAAAAUCCAUGGUCUUAAAGUAUUUUCAGUUGAGAAGACAAAAGAAAACUCACCCUAGAAGCACAAUCUUCACUCUAACUUUACGCCCUAGGUUUCCCACGCUCUCCCUUGCUUUAAAGGGCUUCUAUGGAGUGUGAUAGUGGUGGGAGAAGAGUCUUGGGAGUGGGGGAGAUGUGGAGGGACGAAAAUGGAGAGGGGAGAAGAGAGUGAGAGCACUUUCUUGCCUUAG